rnacentral:rRNA from 1 species
AACGAACGCUGGCGGCAGGCCUAACACAUGCAAGUCGAGCGAGGACUGCGGUCUUAGCGGCGGACGGGUGAGUAACGCGUGGGAACGUGCCCUUUGCUCCGGAAGAGCGCUGGGAAACUGGGAGUAAUACCGGAUGAGCCCUUUGGGGGAAAGGUUGUUCGGCGAAGGAUCGGCCCGCGUUGGAUUAGGUUGUUGGUGGGGUAAUGGCCUACCAAGCCGACGAUCCAUAGCUGGUUUGAGAGGAUGAUCAGCCACACUGGGACUGAGCCACGGCCCAGACUCCUACGGGAGGCAGCAGUGGGGGAUCUUAGACAAUGGGGGAAACCCUGAUCUAGCCAUGCCGCGUGAGCGAUGAAGGCCUUAGGGUUGUAAAGCUCUUUCAGCUGGGAAGAUAAUGACGGUACCAGCAGAAGAAGCCCCGGCUAACUCCGUG